rnacentral:rRNA from 1 species
AUUGAACGCUGGCGGCAGGCUUAACACAUGCAAGUCGAGCGAGCCGCGGACGUGUGAGUAAUGUGUGGGACACUGCCUGAUGGAGGGGGAUAACUUCUAGACACGGUAUCUAAUACCGCAUACCAUCAUAUAUGCACAUAUGGGAUUGGCUAGUAGGUGGGGUAAUGGCUCACCUAGGCGACGAUCCCUAGCUGGUCUGAGAGGAUGACCAGCCACACUGGAACUGAGACACGGUCCAGACUCCUACGGGAGGCAGCAGUGGGGAAUAUUGCACAAUGGGCGCAAGCCUGAUGCAGCCAUGCCGCGUGUGUGAAGAAGGCCUUCGGGUUGUAAAGCACUUUCAGCGGGGAGGCGUUACUGGCAGAAGAAGCACCGGCUAACUCCGUGCCAGCAGCCGCGGUAAUAC